GGGGAGCCCCGGGGUUCUGGCUGACAUGCCUUCUCCCUGUCCUCAUAACUCACAGGGACAGAGGACACAUGGGAGCACUUGCAGCCCACUCGUGGUGUACCAGGCUCUGCGUCAGGGCCUUGGCAGGCUCAGCUGCCCGUCCUGGGAAGCAGGAUCUGCCGGCUGGAGGCUGCAGUGCCGAGAAGGAGGCAGAGGCGUGGUGAUGUCAGCCAGCGGAUUAAGUAAGCAGUAAGCGGAGGCGUGAUAACAUCGAGGAGUGAGGCUCGCCAUGGGCAAGGUGACUCACCGACCCAGAGUACAGGGCGACUGUUGUGGUGCCCAGCCUGUGGGCCUGGGAGGAGGAAGGGGCCGGGCUACUGCAGCAGGGCCACGCUCCUCCCCAGCCCCUGCUCAGAACAUGGUGUCCCCCACCUCCAGAGCGCGCAGGCCACCAGCUCAGGAAACAACCCUCCCUCCCACCGCAGCGAUUAUCUUUGUCCACAGCGUUUGGUGUGUCUGUGGGGCGUGCCGGGUGAUUUCCCUGCCCGCGUCCCGCCGGCACUCCAGGUACCGGAGAUUGUGAACAGCACAACAGUUCCUCCCCCCUCCCUGGACAACCGUCUGCGGAGACAGUACCGGAUGGCAAACUGCUAACCGCAACCACGUGGUGUCCUCGUGGAGGGUACAGCCUGUUCCUCUUGCCACAUGCACCUGUAGUCCUGCCCCUACUCUGCCGCCCUCAUCCCCAGGGGCCCUGGUGAGGUGAUUAAACAUCAUUCUGUCCGGAGGCUCCCCAGGGAUGCCACGUACAGUCAUCCACUAAAAACUACAACUGGAGGGGGCACCACUCAGCCGCGGCCUAUGUGCCAGACCACAUGGCCGUCCGGGGUGGCCCUGCUCCUUCUCGUUCUAAGUGACUUCUCCUUCCCCUCCUCCACCUAGAAUGAUCUAUUUGGCUUGCUCGUCUUCACACCAAACUUUCCCCUACUUGUGCGUCUUCCUUUACCACUGACCCUUCUCAUUCAUCCGUUCACCACGCAGAAAGUGGUUGAGUAUGUGCCAGGCACUGCUCUCGGCCCUGGGAACAAGACAGGCCUUCCCUGAGCUCGGGGGCUCACUAGCUGAGGGGGAUGGAAGAUGAGUAAGUCCUUGGGGGCCCCAGCUGCCUGGUGCCAACGGUAGCACCCUGCGUGGCAAUGCCGGAGCCAUGUGGCCCAGCGAGGUGUCCAUCUGGGUUGACCUGAAACACGGGAUGCCCGCGUGAACACCUGUGAUUCUGGCUGGCUAGAGUGGGGUGGGGAAUCCCAGCACGCUGGGACCUUGUUGGAGGUGUCUGUCAUGGUCUCUCAUUAUGAAAAGAAAUAGAAUAAAUUGUAAAAAACA